rnacentral:sRNA from 1 species
GGGCCCAGGUCCUCUAGGGCUGGGAGGAGCCUCCAGGAGCCCAUUGUAGCAUCCCCUGAAGCCAAGUGGGACUGUUUGGUAUGAGCUGCAAGCAAGAGACUGGCCCUUGAAGAACCAGGCUGCAGAGGCAUCCAUCUGGCAGAUUGGAAGCGGGGAAGGAAUGAAGCGUGUCCUGACUUCUGUCAGCUUGGGGAAGGAAGUCAGUGAGAUCCUGUCGGCCUGCUGGGCUUUCGACCUGCAGGAGAGACCCAGCUUCAGCCUGCUGAUGGACAUGCUGGAGAAACUUCCCAAGCUGAACCGGCGGCUCUCCCACCCUGGACACUUCUGGAAGUCAGCUGA